AUACUUACCUGGACGGGGUCGACGAGCUAUCAAGAAGGCUCGUGGCCUAGAUCAGUGGCCCUCAUUGCACUUUGGAGGGUGCGCUGGUCUUCUUUCUUCCUGUCUUAACUAGGGCGUUUAGGGUUCUUACGUCUCUUC
rnacentral:snRNA from 7 species